rnacentral:lncRNA from 1 species
GUGAUGGUUGACCACUUUUCUCCAGGCAUUCAAGUCAACCAUUUCUUCCUCGUGCUGAUGCAGCAACUCACCACAUCAUAGUGAGUUUCCUGAUGUAACAGGGAUGUAUUCAAAUAAUCAGUGGAGUUUGUUAAGACUGUGUGGCAGUUUUGGCUUGCCUUUGGAGUGCUGACUGCUUGUCCGUCUCUCAGGAGCCAUCAGUCUUCAAUUUGUAAAUGUGGAAGCAGAGCAGGGGAUGGGAAAAGAGGCAGGGAGCCCCUCUUCAGGGACAAGCCCUGCACCAGCCCAUGAGACCAGCUGCUUGCAAGGUGGCCAACACCUUACCUAAACUCAAACUCCACAAUGAGACGCUUGCAUCUUUCCAUGACUUUUUCUUACAAUUCUCUUCAGUGUCUUAUACACAAAUUGUUAAUACCACAACAAAGAUAUUCAGCUGUAUCUUACACAAGUCCCUUAUUAUAGAAGAGAUGCUCCAUGGAGGACAACACAGGAGGACACAUGCAUAUGUUUUUACGCAGUCACGCUGUUUCUUUGUCAAUGCACUUGACAGUAAUGUGGCAAGAAGCCUCAAAUUUAGCUGCAGUGCUAUGAAAUACAGCAGGCCCUUUAAAGACUUAAAAGUGCAAUAG